GACUUACAGUAAAGUUUGGGUCUGGAGAGGCGGUUGCUAGGAGAGCCAAUUUUCAGACACGUCACAUCUUUUAUAACAUAGUUUGUCCAUAAUUUGGAUAGCAACGUGACUGAAACUUGGAUAAGGAUGCAAAGCUAAAACCAAUCAUUGGAGCAACCAAAGAAAUGCAACAGCUUGUUGGCCCCACUGGAGUGAAGUGAUUCAUCUUGAGCGUACAUUUUUUCCCCACCAGCCUCCUGCAGCUCAGAGGCAGUGAGGGGGAAGGCCCUGCGAUCAAACAUCUGACAUAAAAGCCGGGAUACUGGCAUGAAACUGGCUCAGACAAUUGAGAAGACACACAGGAACACAACCAAAAAUGUACACUUUGUUCCCUGACACACAAAUUUGUUCACUGAACAUAUUUCCUGAACAGCAUGAAUGAAUCAUGUAUGCACAUGAAGAACCAAAAAAUAAUUUUCCAACAUGGGUCUGGUACCAAAACACAGAUAAGAAUGGUCUGUGUCCUCAUGAGGGAAAGAUCAACAUGUUCUGGCUCAAUUUUUGAUUUAUGCAGCACCUGGGUGUCUAUUUAGAACUAAUGUACAAGUUGUUUCAUGAACAAAAUUGUGUCCUCAUGCUAGCAAAGAAAAUAGUAAUUAAAAGAAAAACUCAUUGAUGAGCUCA